AUGGAAAAGUUGACUGGAUUAUUGUGAGUAGUGGACGAAGUUCAGGGUAAAUGUAUAUUAUUGGCAUGAACACAGCCAUGUUGAGGAUCCCAAUGCCUCAGACCCACUGGAAUGGCAAAGCCUUCCUCUGACCCAAGUACAGAUGUUCCAAAUGAUUGGCCUUAAACUAAAACCAGUGUGUGUAGAAACUAUCAACCACAGCUUCCUCCUUCCAGAUGACUGACACCUGAGACUGCUUCUGUACUGAGACCUCCUACCAAGAUUAACUCUUCUGCCUCCUCCUUGUUCAUCUGUUCACCAGCCUCCCCAGUUUAUCAUAGCUGUGCUGAGCUCCCAGAUGCUGGAAUCUUUACUUGAAUAAUUACCCGCUGGAAAACUGCCCUCCAAGAGACUCUGGCCUCUGCUACCUCUGUUCACUUUUAUCCACCACCUUCCUGCUGCUGCUUCUGAGCAGAAGGACCUUUCUUUGGUUAGACCAGGCUGGGACCUUUCUUUGCUUAGGCCAGGCUAGAAGGACAAACAUCAUCAGAGGCAACUUAGAAGGCAUCUUUGUAUCAAGAGAGAUUCCAAGCUCCUUUGGUGUGACUCACAGAACAUAGACAAAGCAUAAAGACAUUCUCCUGCAAAUUCCAGCUUUCCUGCCUUUCCAUCCUUCGUGGCCUCAUUGAUUGACACCUCCUGGCUGUGAGGUUCCCGAGCAGAUGGACCACAUUAACACAGGGCUCUGCCUGCAGCCAUCAGCAGAGCACCCAGCGGACACAGCAAGUUUGCCUUGUUCUGUACCAAUAGAGCCGUAUUUCAUCUGCGCAGCUUUCUGAUUGAGCAUUACUAGACUCUGAUGCAUCUGUCAUGCUUGCUUGGACCCCGAGUGGCUCCCCCACAAGUCUCCCAUCUUGUGAGAAUUGAUAACACCUCAAGUCUAAGGCAACUUCAGGCAUCCCUGUGGAAUAGGCACACAGGACUUUUGCCAGGCUCCCAGAUCAGCACUCUCUCCACCAGAGGCAAGCGCUUCCAAAUCCGCCAGAAGAAGAUGAUGACCCCCUGGGACUGGAGUUAUAGAAGAUGUGAGCCUACAAGUGGGGUGCUGAGAAUUGAACCCCUGCCCUGUGUUCUGCCCAGUGCUCUGACCCUCUGAACCAGCCCCACCACACACAACCUAUGUAACAGGCAAGUCUGAUAUAGUCUAGUAUUAUUUACAUUGUUCUGAAGAGACUGAGGGGACAACAUGGGAUCUAAUUAAUGGACCUUCCAUGGCAGAAGGACAAGAGGGGCCUAUUAGGAAAUAGGGUUUGGCCCUAUGACACUAAGCCAGUUCAAAUCCGAUCACCCCUAGAGUCAACACAACCUCAGCAAAUAAACCCAGCAUGGCUUCCAUUUCACAGCAGGUCUCCAGUGCGCUUUUCAUUCCCAAGAUGAGUUCCACAGACAGAACAAAGCAGCGAAAAGCUGAUGUUGCUUUUAAACUAUAUUCCUUCAGGGCAAGUGGGAAAGAACGGAAUUAAAAAGUUUGGCUUGUUGGGAGAGAGAUUUAGGACCUCAUAAACAUGCUGCAUUUUGCUUUUAGAGAUGAAAACAGGUGUUUUCCUUUCUGACUGGCUUGGGACAAGCAGACAGCUGCCCCGAUGUCAGAGAGGA